ACCUGAGCUACUUGGGGCUACUCCUCAUCCUAACCAAUAGGAGGCUGAAAAGAGCUGGCUAAUGACCUCUUCUAAGGAGCAACUCCAUAGGGCUGCACCGAGCUGCCCUUUAACCGCUUUCCUUACCCCAAAAUGUUGACAGCUCUCCACUGGGAAGUGAUACACCCCCUGAACGUCUUUUUGCUUCUAGGAACUGUGGUGGUGUUGACUCUGUCAUCCACUUAUGAUCACUACAACCAGCUCAGCAUUUUGGGGAGGUGGAGGCUGGAGAAUCAGAAGUUCAAGAUCACCCUUCGUGACUGAUUGAGUUUGAGGCUGGCCUGGAAUUCAAACAAACAAACCAAACUUCCUCUACCUGCAGAAUAGCCAUGGUGAAGAACACAGUGUCCGGACGACUUAGAAGUGUUGGCCAGUCCUAUCUAGAGUGGUAAGUCACCUGACGUGUGGAGGAGCCUGAAGAAAGAGAGGAGUGGUUACAGAGAGCGCUUUCAGUCAAGACAAACCCGGCUGUGCCUUCUCCUGCAGGCCCACUCAGGAAACCACAAUGGACGUGUUUAUCCCAAAAGCCAGCUCCUCCUUGGUCCUCAAAGCCCUGACCCAAAGCUGUUUCCAGAAACUUCUCCCUUAUCUGCCCAUUGAAAUGUGCCUUCUGCCAACCAGAAGCUCUUUUCUCCUGACCUUAACAAGGACUCUUCUGUAUUGUGACUGUCACCUGGACUGACAGGAAGGACCUGGUCUCCAGGGUUAGACAGCCUGGAGGGCAGGAGCUACUGUGGGUCAGGGCCGCUGCCGUAUGCCCAAUGGACUGGCAAAGAAAGGGGCAGGACUCUCCUCCCAGCAGGUGACGAGUGGCCGCUGCUGCUCUCCACCCGACCUGUGUGAUCCUGGGACUCGGUAACCCUCUCUGGGCACCCAGGUGAGCAGAGGGAGCUGUGUGAUGACAAUCAAGAAGCAGUCAACGAUUCUCCUGUUUCAUUUUGGCUCUCAAGUCUCCAAGGGAGGGUGGAGCAAGAAGAACCCAGAAGGACCACAGAGCAGGAAAUUUAUUGGGUGGAGCAAGAGGAUGGUCUGGAGUCCACAACAGUCUCAGGAUUGGUGCACUUCUGGGCUUGGACAAGCUGUCCUGUGUUGAUUGGUCAACUGGUUGCUAUGGCCUAUAGGCCCUCCCAGAGCGGAUGCUAUGCUUUAUAAGCCACUGUUACCAUAACGCACAUCCAGAUCCUAUAAAGCCCAUGCAGAACCCGCCA